rnacentral:rRNA from 1 species
UACAGAGGGUGCAAGCGUUAAUCGGAUUUACUGGGCGUAAAGCGCGCGUAGGCGGCCAAUUAAGUCAAAUGUGAAGUCCCCGAGCUUAACUUGGGAAUUGCAUUCGAUACUGGUUGGCUAGAGUGUGGGAGAGGAUGGUAGAAUUCCAGGUGUAGCGGUGAAAUGCGUAGAGAUCUGGAGGAAUACCGAUGGCGAAGGCAGCCAUCUGGCCUAACACUGACGCUGAGGUGCGAAAGCAUGGGGAGCAAAC